GACGAACGCUGGCGGCGUGCUUAACACAUGCAAGUCGAACGCUGAAGCUCAGCUUUUGUUGGGUGGAUGAGUGGCGAACGGGUGAGUAACACGUGAGUAACCUGCCUCCUUCUUUGGGAUAACGCCCGGAAACGGGUGCUAAUACUGGAUAUUCACUGGUCUUCGCAUGGGGGUUGGUGGAAAGGGUUUUUCUGGUGGGGGAUGGGCUCGCGGCCUAUCAGCUUGUUGGUGGGGUGAUGCCUACCAAGGCUUUGACGGGUAGCCGGCCUGAGAGGGUGACCGGUCACAUUGGGACUGAGAUACGGCCCAGACUCCUACGGGAGGCAGCAGUGGGGAAUAUUGCACAAUGGGCGCAAGCCUGAUGCAGCGACGCCGCGUGAGGGAUGGAGGCCUUCGGGUUGUGAACCUCUUUCGCUCAUGGUCAAGCCGCAACAAUGGUUGUGGUGAGGGUAGUGGGUAAAGAAGCGCCGGCUAACUACGUG
rnacentral:rRNA from 1 species